CACACACACACACACACAUACACACACACAUUUUCAUGCAUUCACACACAAAACACAUACUGCAAAAAUCAGAAUCUAAAAUAUAUACUUCAAUUUAAAAUAGCAUAUAGAUUUAAAAAAAGUAAGUUCUAUUUUAAACAUAAUUCUAUUGUAACUUCCUAAAUGAAUCCAAUGUGUUUUUUUUAAUUAACAUAAUUUUGAUUUCCUCAACUACCGCACAAGCCUCAUACCUGGCCUCAAGUCUACAUUUCCCCAAUUCCUGUGUUUUGUAUUUUUUCUCAGAAGAUACACCUGAACAAUUUCUCUAAAGUAUCAAUUAGAUCCUGAAACUUCCUCAUUCAUGCUGCAGUACUGGAUCAAGG